rnacentral:rRNA from 1 species
AUUGAACGCUGGCGGCAGGCCUAACACAUGCAAGUCGAGCGGAGCAGCGGACGGGUGAGUAAUGCCUCGGACUCUGCCUGGUCGCGGGGGAUAACGUCCGGAACCGGGAGCUAAUCCCGCAUCCUCUCACCUGCGCCUAUGUCGGAUUAGCUAGUGGGUGGGGUAAAGGCCUACCCAGGCGCAGAUCCGUACCUGGUCUGAGAGGAUGACCAGUCACACUGGAACUGAGACACGGUCCAGACUCCGACGGGAGGCAGCAGUGGGGAAUAUUGGACAAUGGGCGAAAGCCUGAUCCAGCCAUGCCGCGUGUGGGAAGAAGGUCUUCGGGUUGUAAAGCACUUUCAGUUGGGAGGCGUUACCAACAGAAGAAGCACCGGCUAACUUCGUGCCAGCAGCCGCGGUAAUUC